rnacentral:rRNA from 1 species
UUAGGAAUCUUCCACAAUGGGCGAAAGCCUGAUGGAGCGACGCCGCGUGAGGGAUGAAGGCCUUAGGGUUGUAAACCUCUAAAAGAGGGACGAUAAUGACGGUACCUCUUGAAUAGCACCGGCUAACUCCGUGCCAGCAGCCGCGGUAAUACGGAGGGUGCAAGCGUUAUCCGGAAUCACUGGGCGUAAAGGGCGCGUAGGCGGUCUGUUAAGUCCGAUGUUAAAUCCCGGGGCUCAACCCCGGAUAAGCGUUGGAUACUGGCAGGCUAGACGGUUGGAGAGGCCAGUGGGAUUACCAGUGUAGCGGUGGAAUGCGUAGAUACUGGUAGGAACACCCAUUGCGAAGGCAGCUCGCUGGACAACACGUGACGCUGAGGCGCGAAAGUGUGGGGAGCAAACC